AGUGAACGCUGGCGGUAGGCCUAACACAUGCAAGUCGAACGGCAGCACAGUAAGAGCUUGCUCUUACGGGUGGCGAGUGGCGGACGGGUGAGGAAUACAUCGGAAUCUACUUUUUCGUGGGGGAUAACGUAGGGAAACUUACGCUACUACCGCAUACGACCUACGGGUGAAAGCAGGGGAUCUUCGGACCUUGCGCGAUUGAAUGAGCCGAUGUCGGAUUAGCUAGUUGGCGGGGUAAAGGCCCACCAGGGCGACGAUCCGUAGCUGGUCUGAGAGGAUGAUCAGCCAAACUGGAACUGAGACACGGUCCAGACUCCUACGGGAGGCAGCAGUGGGGAAUAUUGGACAAUGGGCGCAAGCCUGAUCCAGCCAUAACGCGUGGGUGAAGAAGGCCUUCGGGUUGUAAAGCCCUUUUGUUGGGAAAGAAAAGCAGCAGGUUAAUACCCCGCUGUUCUGACGGUACCCAAAGAAUAAGCACCGGCUAACUUCGU
rnacentral:rRNA from 1 species